rnacentral:rRNA from 1 species
CCAAGGAGUCUAACAUGUGUGCGAGUCGUAGGGUGCGUACGAAACCCGAAGGCAAAGUGAAAGCACGGGCCAAUUCAUUGGCCGAGGCGGGAUCCGUCCGUUUCCCCUCGCGGGAAUACGGGCGGCGCACCGCCGGCCCGUCUCGACCGCAGCGUCGGUGAGGCGGAGCAAGAGCAGACACGUUGGGACCCGAAAGAUGGUGAACUAUUCCUAGGCAGGACGAAGCCAGAGGAAACUCUGGUGGAGGUCCGUAGCGUUUCUGACGUGCAAAUCGAUCGUCAGACCUGGGUAUAGGGGCGAAAGACUAAUCGAACCAUCUAGUAGCUGGUUCCCUCCGAAGUUUCCCUCAGGAUAGCUGGCUCUCGAGCGAAACACAGUCUCAUCCGGUAAAGCGAAUGAUUAGAGGCCUUGGGGCCGAAACGACCUCAACCUAUUCUCAAACUUUCAAUGGGUGAGAAGUCCGGCUUGCUCGACUGAAGCCCGGACGUCGGAUGCGAGUGCCCAGUGGGCCACUUUUGGUAAGCACAACUGGCGCUGUGGGAUGAACCAAACGCCGGGUUACGGCGCCCAAUGCGACGCUCAUCAGACACCAUGAAAGGUGUUGGUUGCUAUAGACAGCAGGACGGUGGCCAUGGAAGUCGGAAUCCGCUAAGGAGUGUGUAACAACUCACCUGCCGAAGCAACUAGCCCUGAAAAUGGAUGGCGCUCAAGCGUCGAGCCUAUACCCGGCCGCCGGGGCAGAGCCGAUUUCUAAAAGCAGCAGACGCCCCGGCGAGUAGGAGGGUCGCGGCGGCGAGCGGAAAAGGGUCGGGCGCAGGCCCGCCUGGAGCCGCCGCCGGUGCAGAUCUUGGUGGUAGUAGCAAAUACUCGAGUGAGAACCUUGAGGACUGAUGUGGAGAAGGGUUCCAUGUGAACAGCAGUUGAACAUGGGUCAGUCGGCCCUAAGGAAUAGGGAAAUCCCGUUCCGAAUUUUGGGUUACUUUAUGCAAAAAAUAUAUCCCAAACUCAACCGAAAGGGAAUCGGGUUAAUAUUCCCGAACCCGGACACGGAGAUCGGGCCUUCAUAGGUCCAGUGCGGUGACGCAAACGCCCUCGGAGACGUCGGCGGGAGUCCCGGGAAGAGUUGUCUUUUCUUUGUAAGGAACGGAAUCCCUGGAAUCGGUUCGCCCGGAGAUAGGGAUGUGGUUUCCGUAAAGCACCGCGCCUCCUGCGGUGUCCGGACAGCUCUCGUCGGCCCUUGAAAAUCCGAGGAAGGCAGUGCGAUUUUCGUGCCGGGCCGUACCCAUAUCCGCAGCAGGUCUCCAAGGUGAACAGCCUCUAUUCGAUAGAUCA